CUUCUCUCUGCCCGUCUCUGCUUCCCCCCCCUUCCCCCCCCCCUUUUCUCCCGGCCGACGGAGCUGAAGGGGCGGGGGUUCCUUCCUUGGAGUGUUUCUAGAGCUCGGAGGCUGCUGGUAGGGGGAAGUUGUACCCGUCAGCACCUGCUGAGGGCUUUGUUGUCCAAACCCUGACAGGUAAAAAAAUUCCUGCAGAAUAAAGCCAGACCAGCUGGCUUUGAAGAGAAACCCCCCAGUUUGGGCUGCGUUUGCCUCCUCUCCUUUUCUAUGAAGACCGAGGCUUUGCCCCCUUGAUCGUCAAGCCGUGAGAUGCGUGAUCUCUCUGCACAAGUGUCUGGCAGGCCGAGGGCACCACUUUCAGAUAAAAACAUAGACCUGAAUGGCAUCAUCCAGUAUCCAAGGAAACCAUGCUUGCUUGAAGAGUGAGCAGGUGAGCAAAGAGACAAGAUUACAUGUUUAAACCAAGAAAAGAAUCUUGAAAGUUCUCUAAACAUGAAUAUGCCUUUGGGGGAAGACAGAAGAACAUGGAAGCCAUGUGAAAAAAACGGAUCCUAAGGCAGUUUUGAACAUCUGGAGGCCUGAUUUAUUGGAGAUUGCAAAUGUACAGUGUAACAUAGCUGUGGAGAGCGAGAAGAUCAGGAUUGUCAAUGCUGUCAUUGCUUUUACUGGAAUCCCCAGCACGAAUUGAAGGUCUCACUUUGCCACCUAGGCUGGAUGCAAUGCAACGGUAUGUUGAUCUUGGUUCACUGCAGCCUCAACCUCCUGAGCUCAUGUGAUCCUCCCACCUCAGUCCCCCACGUCGCUUGGAUUACAGGCCUGUGCCACCACACCUGGCUAACUUUUUUUGUAAUUUUUGUAGAGACAGGGUCUCACUAUGUUUCCCAUGCUGGUCUUUAAUGCCUGAGCUCAAGCCAUCCGCCUGCCUCGGCCUCCCAAAUUGCUGGGAUUACAGGCAUGAGCCACCAUGCCCAGCCUAAUUCUUCUAAAUCUUAUCCUAGUAAUUAAGCCAGAAUUUUUCUCUGCCAAGACCAAUAGAUGGACCAAGAAGUACUCAUCCUUGUAAACUUUCUUUGGAUAAAUUGCUUACAUAUAAUAAAUUCAGAGUUAAGUAAUAAAAAUAAUGAACUACUGUCUUG
rnacentral:lncRNA from 1 species